AACGAACGCUGGCGGCAUGCCUAACACAUGCAAGUCGAACGAGACCUUCGGGUCUAGUGGCGCACGGGUGCGUAACGCGUGGGAACCUGCCCUUAGGUUCGGAAUAACUCCCCGAAAGGGGUGCUAAUACCGGAUAAUGUCUUCGGACCAAAGAUUUAUCGCCUUUGGAUGGGCCCGCGUUGGAUUAGCUAGUUGGUAGGGUAAAAGCCUACCAAGGCGACGAUCCAUAGCUGGUCUGAGAGGAUGAUCAGCCACACUGGGACUGAGACACGGCCCAGACUACUACGGGAGGCAGCAGUGGGGAAUAUUGGACAAUGGGCGAAAGCCUGAUCCAGCAAUGCCGGGUGAGUGAUGAAGGCCUUAGGGUUGUAAAGCUCUUUUACCCGGGAUGAUAAUGACAGUACCGGGAGAAUAAGCGCCGGCUAACUCCGUG
rnacentral:rRNA from 1 species